AUAUCAGUAAGCGGAGGAAAAGAAACUAACAAGGAUUACCUCAGUAGCGGCGAGUGAAGAGGUAACAGCCCAAGAUGUAAGUCUGAACCGUAAGGGGAAGAAUUGUAAUCUAUAGGGAUUCUCGGAAGCAAUCAAUGAACCAUAAGUGCCUUGGAAAAGGUUACCGUAGAGGGUGAUAGUCCCGUCUUUGGGAGCAUUGAUGUGUACGAGGGUUUUCUAAGAGUCGGGUAGUUUGGGAAUGCUGCCCUAAUUAGGAGAUAAACUUCUUCUAAGGCUAAAUAUUUAUAGGAGACCGAUAGCGCACAAGUA
rnacentral:rRNA from 1 species